AUUGAACGCUGGCGGCAGGCCUAACACAUGCAAGUCGAGCGGCAGCGGGAAAGUAGCUUGCUACUUUUGCCGGCGAGCGGCGGACGGGUGAGUAAUGCCUGGGAAAUUGCCCAGUCGAGGGGGAUAACAGUUGGAAACGACUGCUAAUACCGCAUACGCCCUACGGGGAAAGCAGGGGACCUUCGGGCCUUGCGCGAUUGGAUAUGCCCAGGUGGGAUUAGCUAGUUGGUGAGGUAAUGGCUCACCAAGGCGACGAUCCCUAGCUGGUCAGAGAGGAGGAACAGCCACACUGGAACUGGGACACGGUCCAGACUCCUACGGGAGGCAGCAGUGGGGAAUAUUGCACAAUGGGGGAAACCCUGAUGCAGCCAUGCCGCGUGUGUGAAGAAGGCCUUCGGGUUGUAAAGCACUUUCAGCGAGGAGGAAAGGUUGAUGCCUAAUACGUAUCAACUGUGACGUUACUCGCAGAAGAAGCACCGGCUAACUCCGUGCCAGCAGCCGCCGUAACAC
rnacentral:rRNA from 1 species